rnacentral:lncRNA from 1 species
UGCUGCUUCUGAGCACGCAGAGUCUGGGGACGAGGACAGGGCCCCAUGCCCUGCUCCUCAAUGUAGGACCGAUCCCCCUCAGUUCCCGAGACAGAUCUGCUGAGCACGCGAAGAGCCAGGACAUGGCACCCCACGGCCUCCGACCUGCCAUGUGCCAGCAACCGGGCAGGGGAGGAGCAGAGCCAUGCUGUUUGCCACCCCGUGAACCUGGGGAACGGGCUGGUAAUGGGACCGUGCGCGAGACCCAGCCUGCCGCGGUGGCAGGGUCGUGUGGGCUGUGCGAGCGGGGCUGCUGGGUUCCCUUGUGCCGGGAACUCCUGGGUCCCAGCCUUGCCUGGGGCUCACCCAGGCUGCGGCCUGGGUAGCGUCUCUGGGGAUACUGCCAGGAAGUGACACUUUCCAUUUCGUGUAACACCCAGCUGCCGAAAGGAGGGGGCUGCUGCUUCGCUGAUGGAGUACACAGCGAGAGACCAAGAGAUGGAAGAGAGGGUCACGUACGCAGAUCUGCACUUCGCCCCCACACCAGCUCCUCAGCGAAUGAAGCAGCAGCCCUGGCGCUGUGCAGCCCUCAGCCUGGCUCUCCUUUGCCUGCUGCUCCUGCUGGCACAAAUUGUUCUCGUUGGCUUGAGCUUCCACCUUUUAGGGCAACUGGCAGGCUGCACCCAUGGUCCCUGGAGCACGGAGGAGACCCUCAGCUAUGGGCAACAGACUCUGCCAGGGCAAUGCCAGUUCUGCCCAGCCGGCUGGCUCUGGGACGCAGGGCAGUGCUACUACUUCUCUUCUGCCAAAAAGACCUGGGAGCAGAGCAAAGAGGACUGCUGUUCCAGAGAGGCACAGUUGGUCACCAUCCGAGCCAAUGCCACCCUGGCGUUCCUGGCACGCAUGUCCGACGUGGAUGUGUUCCAUGUGGGGCUGAAGCGCGACAGCUCCCAGGCUGACUGGAAGUGGCUGGACGGCACUGCACUGAAGGGGCUCUUCCCAAUCCAGCGUUUCACCAACUCUUUCCUGUCCUGCGGGAGGGUGUCUCGCUCAGGCCUGUCUGGCGGCCUGUGCAGGGAAGCCCACAGCUGGAUCUGUGAGAAGAGUGCUGCCACCCUGCAGUGGGUCCAGUCCGCACCCCCCGCCUUCCUCUGGGGGAAUACCACCUACACCUGUGCGAGGCACUGGUAACCCGGGCCCAGGUCCUGCAGGGACCUCCAGCCUGGCCACCCUGGCAGCACAGGGACACCGUCGCUGCCGUUGCACCCUGCCUGACCUGUCCUCCCGUGCGCUGGCGUCCCAGACUGCAGUCUCCUAACGCAGAGCUCUUCUUCCCUCGUAGCCCAGAUCUGUGCACUGUGUCAAUAAACUCUGACAUGCGGAUGCUGUAGCUGUCUUU